GAAAAAUCCAGAUGUGCCCAUACUCUUAUAAGUCGAAACUAUGAUUUGAUGACGAUUACUUACAUUGUUUUUAUCAAGACUAUAUUUGUAGUUCUGAUUAACUGGCGAGGAGAAAGUGAAGAGAAAAGAUCAACAGAAGAAAAAAUAGUGCUGGCAAAUCAGAGAAGCCAAGAUAUCAACUUAAAAAGCAAACAGAAGACCUGCAGUGAAUAAGCAAAAUAGGUCACAUGAUCGAGACUUCUCUGUCCCGUUCUAAAGAAAAGGAUUUGCUCUCUUGGCAUCCUGGUACCGCCUCUCCAGACCCUGACGGAGAGAUACUGUGGCGGAGGACUCAAACUCAGGACCUCGGAGAGCUCUCGGCUGGGCCUCCCUCCCAUCUCCCAUCGGCCUCCUUACCCCUGGCGCUGGGUCCAGCUGCAUCCCUGGGAACACGUGACUGCUUACUCCAUGUUCAGGGAGAACAGAUAAAGAGCAGGAGGAUUCAUGCUGCUACCAACCUCUACACAAUGAAAUGUCAUCAUUUUCCAGCCCAGUACACGGCUUCCCUGGUGGUCUCCAGCUGACUGAGAGGGUCUAAGGCUUCAACAUAGUAUUUCCCCACGAUCAGGAGCAGAAGACACUAGUAUUAGCCAAGCCCAGGAAGAUGGCUGCAAAGUAUACUUCUGCAAAGAUAUUAAAUGAACUUUAACUUUGUUUAAUCCUUCCAGUUAGAAUGAUGUCCUUGCAGACCAGAGAAGCUUAUCCUGAUCAGUGUUAUUGGGUUGAAUAUCAAUCAGAGGUGCACAGGCAACUGGCGGAUCCUGUGGGUAGGAAGGCAGCGGUGUGUUAAUGUUGCUGUCUGUUAACAGCGUUAAGUGGUUCACGGGGCCGAGAAGGAUUAUUACCUGACACAUGUGUGUUCUUGCUGAACUCAGAAGGUGACAGCUGAGAUGCAACCGAAAUUAACUGUCUCUGAUGUCACUACAUGGAAAUAAAGGUCAGCUCGGCCCAACAGCAGAAGAAAGGGCAGAGCACAGGAAGCUCCGGGCGAGCAGGGCUCGGGAGCCAGCACCCCGUCUCCAGGGAGCAGUACCCUUGUCUGUGCCCACCCUUCUUCCCCGGGUCUUCAGGGAGAUGACCGUGCUCUCCCCACGCACCUCUCCCGGGCCGUCGACCACCCCGUUUGGCCUACAGGAUCCAGGCCGGCUGUGGUCGUUCACAGUGAUGUGUCAACUUGGCCUGGGCAAGAACUGCGCAGUGGAUUCGUAAACUCUGGGCAUGUCUGUGGAAGGCUGAUGUGAAGGCCAGAACCUGAG
ensembl:lncRNA